rnacentral:rRNA from 1 species
UACGUAGGGGCCUAGCGUUGUCCGGAUUUAUUGGGCGUAAAGAGCUCGUAGGCGGUUCGGUAAGUCAGGUGUGAAAUCUCCACGCUCAACGUGGAGGCGCCACCUGAAACUGCCGUGACUAGAGUUCGGCAGGGGAGACUGGAAUUCCUGGUGUAGCGGUGAAAUGCGCAGAUAUCAGGAGGAACACCGGUGGCGAAGGCGGGUCUCUGGGCCGAUACUGACGCUGAGGAGCGAAAGCGUGGGGAGCGAACAGG